CUGACCCUGCGGCCCGCGGAGAAGCUCUGUCCGUGCAGGGAGCAGCUCCGGACCCGUCCCCAGGGCGAGGACUGGCCGCAGACGCGCAGAGACGAUGCGGUGGUGGCUCCAUUUUGCUUUCAUCGCAGCAGCGUCCAAAGGGGCCGAGGCGCAGGGGCGGCUGGUGGAGUCCGGCGGCGGGGCUGCGACCACCGGCGGCUCCAGGCGGCUCUCCUGCACAGGCUCCGGAUUCGCUUUCAGCAGCUACAUCAUGCUCUGGUACCGGCAGCGCCCCGGGAAGGGGCUGGAAUGGGUCUCCUGGAUCAGCGGCACUGGCGGGAGCAAAGAUUACACUAACUCCGUGAAAGGGCGAUUCACCGUCUCCAGGGACAACACCAAGAGCCAGCUGUAUCUGCAAAUGAGCCGCCUGGGACCCGAGGACACCGCCCGGUAUCACUGUGCGAGAGACACAGUGAGGGGAAGCCGGUCUGAGUUGACAAAAAAACUCGCUUCGUUCAGACCAGGGGAUUCGUGAGCGUCCCGUGACUAACAUCACCCCCUGAACUCCGGUGUCCCCUGACCCGCACCACAUAGCCGGCCACUCACCCACCCACCGACCCCCUGCAGCCCCUGGGUGGCGCCCUUGUGCAGUGUCGUGGACGCUCAGGGGGCAGGGUGUGUGUCUGUGCAGGAAGGGUUGUUCUCUGAGCACAGGGCAGGGAUAUGAACCCAGACACCCUGGUCUGAGAGCAGGGGAAAGAUCUGAGCUCUGCUGGGUUCACUAGCUGUGACGAAGUGGGCCUGUUCUUAAUGUUUCCUCCGAAUAUUGUGGGGGUGCCUCAGUUUCCCCUAUGCAGUUCUUAAGUAUCUAGGUGGUGGGGUAAGGGUGUAUGAUCAUUGCAGAGCCCUAGAGGGCAGGUGUGUGCAGGAGUCUGGACACAGAGAAUGGCCGACACCCUGUUUCCUGGCAACUGAUGGCCUGGGCCCUUCCCCCCUGCAAGGUGAAAGCUGAAGGGUUGGAGAACAAAGGAAUCAGGUGACCACCUGGCCCAGGAAAGGAACAAAGCCCAGAGGAGGAGGGGCUGGAGGGAGUUUCAGUUUGGGGCUGGCUGGGACAUGGAGUGAAGGGCAGACGUGGUUGUCUGGCUCACUGCCCCCAAAAUGGACCCAGCUGAGGGGUCCCGUUCUCUGCACCUACAAGCUCUGUUUUAGACCAUGUUCCUGUCGUCUAAUAAACCUUCUGUUUUACUGGCUG